rnacentral:rRNA from 1 species
GACGAACGCUGGCGGCGUGCUUAACACAUGCAAGUCGAACGGAAAGGCCCUGCUUUUGUGGGGUGCUCGAGUGGCGAACGGGUGAGUAACACGUGAGUAACCUGCCCUUGACUGUGGGAUAACUUCAGGAAACUGGGGCUAAUACCGGAUAGGAGCGCCUGCUGCAUGGUGGGGGUUGGAAAGUUUAGGCGGAUGGGGAUGGACUCGCGGCUUAUCAGCUUGUUGGUGGGGUAGUGGCUUACCAAGGCUUUGACGGGUAGCCGGCCUGAGAGGGUGAACGGCGACAUUGGGACUGAGGUACGGCCCAGACUCCUACGGUAGGCAGCAGUGGGGAAUCUUGUACAACGGGCGGGAGUGUGUUGCGGAGAUGCUGCGUGCGGGAUGACGGCCUUCGUGUUGUAAACCGCUUUCGCCUGUGACGAAGCGUGUGUGACGGUAAUGGGUAAAGAAGCACCGGCUAACUACGUG